GACGAACGCUGGCGGCGUGCUUAACACAUGCAAGUCGAACGGAAAGGCCCUGCUUUUGUGGGGUGCUCGAGUGGCGAACGGGUGAGUAACACGUGAGUAACCUGCCCUUGACUUUGGGAUAACUUCAGGAAACUGGGGCUAAUACCGGAUAGGAGCUCCUGCUGCAUGGUGGGGGUUGGAAAGUUUCGGCGGUUGGGGAUGGACUCGCGGCUUAUCAGCUUGUUGGUGGGGUAGUGGCUUACCAAGGCUUUGACGGGUAGCCGGCCUGAGAGGGUGACCGGCCACAUUGGGACUGAGAUACGGCCCAGACUCCUACGGGAGGCAGCAGUGGGGAAUAUUGCACAAUGGGCGGAAGCCUGAUGCAGCAACGCCGCGUGCGGGAUGACGGCCUGCGGGUUGUAAACCGCUUUCGCCUGUGACGAAGCGUGAGUGACGGUAGUGGGUAAAGAAGCACCGGCUAACUACGUG
rnacentral:rRNA from 1 species